AACGCUGGCGGAAUGCUUAACACAUGCAAGUCGGGCGGUAACACUUCGGGUGACGAGCGGCGGACGGGUGCGUAACGCGUGAGAAUCUGCCUUUUAGUGGGGGACAACCCGAGGAAACUCGGGCUAAUACCGCAUAUGUCCUACGGGAUAAAGCAGGGGACCUUCGGGCCUUGCGCUAAAAGAUGAGCUCGCGUUAGAUUAGCUUGUUGGUGGGGUAACGGCUCACCAAGGCCACGAUCCGUAGCUGGUCUGAGAGGAUGAUCAGCCACAUCGGGACUGAGACACGGCCCGAACUCCUACGGGAGGCAGCAGUGGGGAAUAUUGGACAAUGGGGGCAACCCUGAUCCAGCCAUGCCGCGUGUGUGAAGAAGGCCCUCGGGUUGUAAAGCACUUUCAGCGAGGAAGAACGCCUAGCGGUUAAUACCCGCUAGGAAAGACAUCACUCGCAGAAGAAGCACCG
rnacentral:rRNA from 1 species